rnacentral:rRNA from 1 species
UAGGGAAUCUUCCACAAUGGACGAAAGUCUGAUGGAGCAACGCCGCGUGAGUGAAGAAGGGUUUCGGCUCGUAAAACUCUGUUGUUAAAGAAGAACAUAUCUGAGAGUAACUGUUCAGGUAUUGACGGUAUUUAACCAGAAAGCCACGGCUAACUACGUGCCUA